rnacentral:rRNA from 1 species
AUUGAACGCUGGCGGAAUGCUUUACACAUGCAAGUCGAACGGUAGAGGGGGCAACCCCUCGAGAGUGGCGAACGGGUGAGUAAUAUAUCGGAACGUGCCCAGUCGUGGGGGAUAACGUAGCGAAAGUUACGCUAAUACCGCAUACGAUCUAAGGAUGAAAGCGGGGGAUCGCAAGACCUCGCGCGAUUGGAGCGGCCGAUAUCAGAUUAGGUAGUUGGUGGGGUAAAGGCUCACCAAGCCAACGAUCUGUAGCUGGUCUGAGAGGACGACGAGCCACACUGGAACUGAGACACGGUCCAGACUCCUACGGGAGGAAGCAGUGGGGAAUUUUGGCCAAUGGACGAAAGUCUGAUCCAGCCAUUCCGCGUGCAGGAUGAAGGCCCUCGGGUUGUAAACUGCUUUUGUACAGAACGAAAAGGUUUCUACUAAUACUAGGAGCUCAUGACGGUACUGUAAGAAUAAGCACCGGCUAACUACGUGACAGCCGCCGCUGUAA